rnacentral:rRNA from 1 species
GAUGAACGCUGGCGGCGUGCCUAAUACAUGCAAGUCGAGCGAACAGAUUAGGAUCUUGCUCCUCGGACGUUAGCGGCGGACGGGUGAGUAACACGUUGAUAACCUAUCUAUAAGACUGGGAUAACUUCGUGAAACCUGAGCUAAUACCGGAUAAUAUAUUGAACCGCAUGGUUCAAUAGUGAAAGACGGUUUUGCUGUCACUUUUACAUGUAACCGCGCCGGAUUAGCUAGUUGGGAAGGUAAGGGUUUUCCAAGGCAACGAUGCUUAGCCAUCCUGAGAGGGUGAUCGGCCACCUUGGAACUGAGAAACGGUCCAGACUCCUACGGGAGGACACAGUAGGGAAUCUUCCGCAAUGGGCGAAAGCCUGACGGAGCAACGCCGCGUGAGUGAUGAAGGUCUUAGGAUCGUAAAACUCUGUUAGUAGGGAAGAACAAAUGUGUAAGUAACUAUGAACGUCUUGACGGUACCUAAUCAGAAAGCCACGGCUAACUACGUG